AUCAUGGUAGCCACCUCCUUGUAAUUCGGAUCCAACUGAGACACCCCUUGGAGAGUGAAUGAGGUAAGUAUCUCUACCCUUGAGUCUCAAAUAUCUGAGCUAACUAGUUUGGUAAAAACAUGGCCACAUAAAACAACCAAUGAGCUCGAGUGUGUGGGAUUUGUGCACAUUUGGGACACCCCAAGGAUAUGUGCCCCAUGCUCUAUGAUGAUGACAGUAGCAAGUCAAUAUGGUGGGUGGUUUCCCAACUCAAAC
rnacentral:lncRNA from 1 species